rnacentral:tRNA from 1 species
GCCCCGGUAGUAUAGUCCGGUCAAACUGACUGGUUGUCAGUAUCGAAAGUAUGCUGGCCUUUCGAGUCGGCGACGCGGGAUCGAAUCCCGCCCGGGGCACCA